CCGUAAUCGGAAUGAGUACACUUUAAAUCCUUUAACAAGGAUCCAUUGGAGGGCAAGUCUGGUGCCAGCAGCCGCGGUAAUUCCAGCUCCAAUAGCGUAUAUUAAAGUUGUUGCGGUUAAAAAGCUCGUAGUUGGUUCUGCGUGCCGCGCUGUCGGUUCGCCGCCUGUCGGUGUUACUGGCAUGUCGCGGCAUGUCCUGUCGGUGGUGAAUGGAAUCCCCGGUGCUACGUAGGCUUUUAUUAGCUGAAGUUUGUACCGUGGUGAAUUCAUUUGCCGAUUUCUCCUACUCCGGUGCUCUUAAACGAGUGUCGAGGUAGGCCGACACGUUCACUUUGAACAAAUUAGAGUGCUUAAAGCAGGCUGAAAUAUCUGCCUGAAUAGUGGUGCAUGGAAUAAUAAAAUAGGACCUCGGUUCUAUUUUAUUGGUUUUAGGAAUAUGAGGUAAUGAUCAAUGUGGACUGGCGGGGGCAUUCGUAUUGCGACGUUAGAGGUGAAAUUCUUGGAUCGUCGCAAGACGCACUAGAGCGAAAGCAUUUGCCAAGUAUGUCUUAAUUGAUCAAGAACGAAAGUUAGAGGUUCGAAGGCGAUCAGAUACCGCCCUAGUUCUAACCAUAAACGAUGCCAGCCAGCGAUCCGCCGAUGUUCCUUUAAUGACUCGGCGGGGAGCUUCUACCCGGGAAACCAAAGCUUUUGGGUUCCGGGGGAAGUAUGGUUGCAAAGCUGAAACUUAAAGGAAUUGACG
rnacentral:rRNA from 1 species